ACAUAGUGAGACCCUGUCUUUAAAAAAAGAAACAAAGACUCAACCUUAUUGAGGAAUUAAAUUAAAAAUCUUAGUUUUUUUUUGUAAUGUUAUGCUGUGUGGAAGCUGGGAGAAGAUGUGCCAGUAGAAAAUGGUAAUGUGAUGUGGAGAUGAAGCCUAAGUCCAACUAAAAAGGGAUAGGUAGACUUUGCUAAAAAAAAAAAAAAAAAAAAAAUUGACAUGAUUGUGACUUACUAACAUUUAAAUCAAGUACUGACAGUGAAAUAAAAUGUAGAGAAGAAAAAAUGAAUUCAGAAAGUGUUUUGUUGUUGUUUUAUUCUUUUCUUUUUUCAUUUAGUUGAAAUAACCAGAAUUAGCUGACUGAGUAGAAGAAAAUGAUAGAAAGGCUUCUAGGGAAGUCUGAUAUUGAACUCGUAACCUAUUUUAUUGACUGUAGUUUUAUAUAUAAGAGUACAGUACUGGGGCAGGGUAGGGUAAAAGCACAUGUGCAGGCAUGGCUCCUUAGUUCAAUCCUCAGAAUCCUCAGCCACCAAGUAAAACUUGGGUAUGACAGCGCAUGCCUGUACCCUGACGUUAGGUACCAAAAUAUGGUCCUGGGACUUAACUAGCCAAGCUGCCUAGCCAAAAUGGUGAGUUUCAGGUCUAGUGAGAGACUCUAUCUCAAGGGAAUUGAGUAAUGAGGAAGAUAGAACCAACAUCCACCUCAGUUCUCCAUGGACUCAUGCACAGAUGUGUGUGUGUGUGUGUGUGUGACACUGGCACACACUUCAAAGACUUCAGAAGGAUGCAAAAUAGAGAGUUCCAGAAAAUAUCUGUAAAUAAAGCUUAGAUAUCCAGGAAAGGCUACUGAGCUCAGUCUUCCAAACAUCCCAAACACUUUUGAAAGGGUAAUUUGGAUUGGCUUGCUUUAAGUUUAUAAUUGUGAGCCUUCUUGGUCUCCUCCCUUUGUCUUGGAUGGCUAUAGUGGUAUUGUAGAGGAUUCCCUGGGCACUACAGGGAAUCUGGACAGCUGCUGAGCUUUCAUACUUCCCAGAGUGAGUGUCAGGAUAAUUUCUCAAAUUUAGCCAUCUACAUCAGAAACCACUCUGGCUACUUGGAUGUGGUAGCACAUGCCUGUAAUGCGAGCACUUGUAAAGCAGAGACAGAAGACCAGGAGUUCAAAGCUAAGCCUGAUCUACAGUGAGUUUGCAGCCAGCCAAAGCUACAUAAGAUUUUGUCUGAGAAAGAGAAACAAAACAAAAGAAUUGUUCAGGUUAUUUAAACAUUCAAAUAUUGGGACUUUGCUACUCCUGUUCAGUCGUAUCCAGAUCUCAGUACAAUGUCUGAGAAUACUUAAUAGGUGAAUCCUAUACACGAAAGUUUAGAGCCAUUGAAAUGGUGAUCACAGGUGUAACCUUGGAGAUCAGAAAGCUCCUUGGCAGAAAUUCAUGAGCAUCACAGUCAUGAAUAAUUAAAGGUUUACCCCCAAUCCCUGCUUUAAGUAAAGGUGGUUGCAACGUUGCAGUAUAGUUUGUUUAAUUGGAAAGAACAGAUCAUGGGUAGUAAAAUGUCUUGGUGGGUAAGGUACCAUCAUCCCUCAAAACCAGAUGAUAAAGAGGUAUUAUUAUUACAGAUUGUCCUCUGACCUUCAGACAACUUUCAUGGCAUGUGAAUCUGUGCUUACACAUAAUAAAUAAAUGUAAUUUUCAAAAAGUAGAACUAUAUAAACUGAAGAGAAGCUAGAGUAUUAGUUAAAUUUUUUU
rnacentral:lncRNA from 1 species